rnacentral:rRNA from 1 species
UACGUAUGGUGCAAGCGUUAUCCGGAUUUACUGGGUGUAAAGGGAGCGCAGGCGGCACGCUAAGCCUGAUGUGAAAACCCGCGGCCCAACCGCGGGAGUGCAUUGGGAACUGGCGAGCUAGAGUACCGGAGGGGCAGGCGGAAUUCCUAGUGUAGCGGUGAAAUGCGUAGAUAUUAGGAGGAACACCGGCGGCGAAGGCGGCCUGCUGGACCGUAACUGACGUUGAGGCUCGAAAGCGUGGGGAGCAAACAGG